AGCGGGCUAGUGGAAAGGCACCACACCUGGCUCAUAACCAGGAGGACCCCGUUCAAUUCGGGGGCCCGCAACCA
rnacentral:tRNA from 1 species